CCUACGGGAGGCUGCAGUGGGGAAUAUUGCACAAUGGGGGAAACCCUGAUGCAGCGACGUCGCGUGAGUGAAGAAGUACCUAGGUAUGUUAAGCUCUAUCAGCAGGAACGAGACAAGACGGUACCUGACCAAGAAGCCACGGCCAACUACGUGCAAGCAGCCUGGGUAAUACGUAGGGGGCAAGCGUUAUCCGGAAUCACUGGGGUUAAACGGAGUGUUGACGGCUGUGCAAGCCUGAAGUGAAAGGCGGGGGCCUAAACCCUGGACUGCUGUGGGAACUGUACGCCUUGAGUGCAGGAGAGGUAAGUGGAAUUCGUGGUGUAGCGGUGAAAUGCGUAGAUAUUAGGAGGAACUCCGAUGGCGAAGGCGGCAUACUGGACUGCAACUGACGUUGAGGCACGAAAGCGUGGGGAGCAAACAGGAUUAGAUACCCUGGUAGUC
rnacentral:rRNA from 1 species